UGACGAUAAUGUCAGUAUAUUUGUUUUUAUAGUAAUAAGUGAAAAGGUUAUUAUUUUAUUUGUUCAAGUAUUGAGAGGGGUCAUAAUAUUGCAGUUAUUGUUUUUGUAUUUUAUUUGUGAAUAUAUUUGCCUUUUUUAGUUGUGUGACCUUUGCCUUACCCCCGGAAGUAGAAAAGAGAAAAAUAGUAGCGCGAAAAAGAGAGAAGGGGACAAAAGAGAGAAAACAGAGAGAGGUGUAAAGAAAAGGGACAUCAAGAUAAAAAUAUGCUGUUUUACUACUGCUGGUAACGUAAAGGCGAACACGUUUUCACGGUGUAUUGGUGUGUUAAUGAAGAGUGCUGAAAAUAAAUACCGACACACAAUCA